rnacentral:rRNA from 1 species
ACAUGUAAAUUUUAAUCCAACAUCGAGGUCGCAAUCUUUUUUAUCUGAUAAGAACUCUCCAAAAAAAUUACGCUGUUAUCCCUAAGGUAAUUUAUUCUUUUAAUCACUAAUAAUGGAUCAUUUAAUCAUAAAUCAAUGGAUUUAAAUAUAAAAAGUUUAUUAAAUUUUAUAAUCACCCCAACUAAAUAAAUUAAUAAAUAUAACAUAAUAAAUUCUUAAUUAAAUAAUAUUUAUAAAAUAUAAAACUCUAUAGGGUCUUCUCGUCUUUUAAAAAAAUUUAAGCUUUUUAACUUAAAAAUAAAUUUCUUUUUUAAUUAAAAUUAAGACAGUAAUUUUCUCAUCAAACCAUUCAUACAAGUUUUUAAUUAAAAAACUAAUGAUUAUGCUACCUUUGUACAGUCAAAAUACUGCAGCCAUUAAAUUUUCAUUGGGCAGGUCAAACUUUAAAUUAAUCUCAAAAAGAC